rnacentral:rRNA from 1 species
CGUAAAGCCGGAGGAAGGUGAGGAUGAUGUCAAGUCAGCAUGACCUUUAUAUCCAGGGCUACACACACGCUACAAUGGUCUGUACAAUGGGUAGCCAAGCCGCGAGGCGGAGCCAAUCCUGAAAGCAGGCCUCAGUUCAGAUUGCAGUCUGCAACUCGACUGCAUGAAGCCGGAGUUGCUAGUAACCGCAGGUCAGCAAUACUGCGGUGAAUACGUUCCCGGGUCUU